CCUACGGGAGGCAGCAGUGGGGAAUAUUGGACAAUGGGCGAAAGCCUGAUCCAGCAAUGCCGCGUGAGUGAUGAAGGCCUUAGGGUUGUAAAGCUCUUUUACCAGGGAUGAUAAUGACAGUACCUGGAGAAUAAGCUCCGGCUAACUCCGUGCCAGCAGCCGCGGUAAUACGGAGGGAGCUAGCGUUGUUCGGAAUUACUGGGCGUAAAGCGUACGUAGGCGGUUAUUCAAGUCAGAGGUGAAAGCCCGGGGCUCAACCCCGGAACGGCCUUUGAAACUAGGUAGCUAGAGUCUUGGAGAGGUUAGUGGAAUUCCGAGUGUAGAGGUGAAAUUCGUAGAUAUUCGGAAGAACACCAGUGGCGAAGGCGACUAACUGGACAAGUACUGACGCUGAGGUACGAAAGCGUGGGGAGCAAACAGGAUUAGAUACCCUGGUAGUCCACGCCGUAAACGAUGAUAACUAGCUGUUCGGGCACUUGGUGCCUGAGUGGCGCAGCUAACGCAUUAAGUUAUCCGCCUGGGGAGUACGGUCGCAAGAUUAAAACUCAAAGAUAGUAGACGUGNGAGAGCGACGACGACGACGACGGAGGAGAG
rnacentral:rRNA from 1 species